rnacentral:rRNA from 1 species
UACGUAGGGGGCAAGCGUUGUCCGGAUUUAUUGGGCGUAAAGAGCGUGUAGGCGGCUUGGUAGGUCCGCUGUGAAAACUCGAGGCUCAACCUCGAGAUGUCGGCGGAAACCACUUGGCUAGAGUCCGGAAGAGGAGAGUGGAAUUCCUGGUGUAGCGGUGGAAUGCGCAGAUAUCAGGAAGAACACCUAUGGCGAAGGCAGCUCUCUGGGACGGUACUGACGCUGAGACGCGAAAGCGUGGGGAGCGAACAGG